UACGAAGGGGGCAAGCGUUGCUCGGAAUUAUUGGGCGUAAAGCGCACGUAGGCGGCUUUGUAAGUCGGGGGUGAAAUCCUGGAGCUCAACUCCAGAACUGCCUUCGAUACUGGAAAGCUCGAGUCCGGGAGAGGUGAGUGGAACUGCGAGUGUAGAGGUGAAAUUCGUAGAUAUUCGCAGGAACACCAGUGGCGAAGGCGGCUCACUGGCCCGGUACUGACGCUGAGGUGCGAAAGCGUGGGGAGCAAACAGG
rnacentral:rRNA from 1 species